GCCCCUUACGCUUUGGGCGACACACGUACUACAAUGGUCGGGACAGAGGGCAGCUAACCUGCGAAGGCAAGCUAAUCCCAGAAACUCGGCCUCAGUUCAGAUCGCAGGCUGCAACUCGCCUGCGUGAAGGAGGAAUCGCUAGUAAUCGCCGGUCAGAAUACGGCGGUGAAUCCGUUCCCGGGCCUUGUACACACCGCCCGUCACACCAUGGAAGCUGGCCACGCCCGAAGUCGUUACCCUAACCUUUAGGGGAGGGGGACGCCGAAGGCAGGGUUGGUGACUGGGGUGAAGUCGUAACAAGGUAGCCGUACCGGAAGGUGUGGCUGGAUCACCUCCUUUUU
rnacentral:rRNA from 1 species